UACGUAGGGGGCAAGCGUUGUCCGGAUUUAUUGGGCGUAAAGCGCUCGCAGGUGGUCCGCUGCGUCGUGCGUGAAAGACCCCGGCUCAACUGGGGGAUGUCGUGCGAUACGGGCGGACUGGAGGCCAGUAGGGGGAUGCGGAAUUCCGGGUGUAGUGGUGGAAUGCGUAGAGACCCGGAGGAACACCAGCGGCGAAGGCGGCAUCCUGGACUGGUCCUGACACUCAGGAGCGAAAGCUAGGGUAGCAAACGGG
rnacentral:rRNA from 1 species